GGGCCCAUAACUCAGUCGGUUAGAGUAGUUGACUCAUAAUCAAUUAGUCCGGGGUUCGAGUCCCUGUGGGCCCA
rnacentral:tRNA from 1 species